rnacentral:rRNA from 1 species
CAGCAGCCGCGGGAAUACGAAGGGUGCAAGCGUUAAUCGGAAUUACUGGGCGUAAAGCGUGCGUAGGCGGUUUGUUAAGUCUGCUGUGAAAUCCCCGGGCUCAACCUGGGAAUGGCAGUGGAUACUGGCAAGCUAGAGUGUGUCAGAGGGUGGUGGAAUUCCCGGUGUAGCGGUGAAAUGCGUAGAGAUCGGGAGGAACAUCAGUGGCGAAGGCGGCCAUCUGGGACAACACUGACGCUGAGGCACGAAAGCGUGGGGAGCAAACAGGAUUAGAUACCCCAGUAGUCCCUGUCUCUUAUAC